UCCCUUGUGGCUCAGCUGGUAAAGAAUCCGCCUGCAAUGCGGGAGACCUGGGUUGGAUCCCUGGCUUGGGAA
rnacentral:tRNA from 1 species